UCACUACAACAACAUCUAUUCGGAAACCAGCCACUACAACUAUCUCUAACCAGGCCUCCACAGAGGCAGUUCAAGCUAUUCAACAACUUGCUGCUCAGUUAGGUUUUCAGUUGCAACCUCUUAGUUCCCAACAACCUCAAGCACACUACACAAAUAGAUCUUAGAACAACCGUGAUCGGGCUCAAAAUAGUCGACCUGGCAACUCCAACAACAAUCGUGGACGUGGGAACUAAAACAAUCGCAUUCAAGGAGGAGGUACUUGUAAUCAGUUUAGUUGGGUAUCUAAUCAAAAUAUUGUUUUUGGUACAUGUAACAGGUGUGGUAUAGGGCAUGUACCGUCUCAAUGUCAAACCGUGACCCCAAUACACUCAAAUCAAGAAAGGCACUGUUUGCCAACUAUGCUGAUUACCGUUCACAAGCUUCAAGUACCUGGCUUCCAGAUACAGGAUCGAGUCAUCAUGUUGCAUCAAAUCUCUCUAGUUUUGACAACUCGGAAGCCUACUAUGGCGAGGAUAAUCUUCAUGUUGGCAACGGACACGUCUACACACAAUAUCCUCCACAUGGGUCCAAGUAACGGGGGUCUCUAUUCCUUCACUCUCCCAAGAAUGCAACCUAAAGUGUCCUUCUCUGCAACUCGUGCUUCUCCGACUACAUGGCAUCAAAGAUUGGGCCACCCGCACCCUCAACUUUUGAAGUCUAUGCUUUCUAAGUUUCGUUUACCUCUGAAAAACAAUUUUUCUAGUAUUUCUUGUGAUUCAUGUUCUAUUGGAAAGUCCUCAAAACUUCAUUUAUUACCAUCUAAUAUUAAAAGCAAUCAUAUUUUGGAUC